UCUGUUUGUAUAAUUUGAGACUUAUGAAUGCAUCUAUAAUAAAUUGUUGAUAUUAUUUGUGCAGUACAUUUGUUCUUUUCUCCAUCUUUUCUUGUCUGUUGAAUCCGUAUAUUUGUGGUGCUCUAGGCUCGUCGUGGUGGAGUGGAUGAGCCAUUUGCUUGGGAAAGCAGGGAGUAUCUGAGGAAACUCUGCGUAGGAAAGGAGGUCACAUUUAGAGUGGAUUACACUGCUCCUAACAUCGGACGAGUAUUUGGCACUGUCUACCUUGGCGACAAGAACGUUGCCUACUUGGUGGUUGCUGCAGGAUGGGCAAGGGUGAAGGAGCAAGGCCCCAAGGGGGGUGAACCACUCCCAAAUGUCUCUGAGCUUCUGAGGUUCUAGGAAGUUGCUAAGCAACUUCC